rnacentral:lncRNA from 1 species
UAUUAAGAAUAUUAGAGAGCAACUUGCAGCAGUCAGAAUUUCACAUUAAGGGAACCAGCCAUUCCUGUGGAGGGCAGGAUGGAGUGACAACCUGUAUGCUCAUUCAACAUGCACUGAAUGAGAGCCAAGGAACGCUUUAUCGAAGCUUCUUCUUCCUUAUACAGACCUAGACAUAAUCAGAGGAACAGCUUGCUUAGAAAUCUGGAGUCCUGUUUUGCAAUAUAGUAACUAUAUGGCAUUAAGAAAAUCAGUUAGCCUGUUUGAACUUCAGUUUUCUAAUUUUCAAACAGAGAGAUGUGGUUACUGCAUCCAAUCACUGAGAUGACUGAAUUAUGAAGGGGCAAAUCUUAUCAGUCAGUUAAUCCACCAAGAUACCUCCUUUCCUGACUUCAGUCAGGGAUAUAAAUGGGGUAUCUUUAUCAAAACCCUACCCUCAAAUCUCAGGGAUCUACGAGAAUAAGAGCUAGAAAUAUUCUAAGACCCAGAAGAGAUAGAUAACAUCAGACAAACCACAUCUACCGGACAACAAGAACUGAUCGAUCCAUCUAUGAACUCCUAGAGACUGUGGAAGCACUCACAAGACCUGAACAAGUCCAACCAGACAAAAGCCCAGCACUGAGAAGGUGGAGUAGACACAAAGUUCCAGCUCUAAUCAAGAAGCAGUCUGUAACUGAUAACUGCUAGAAAAAGUAAAAUUAGUUUUCUCGUCUUUUUGAGAAAUGGUGAGACCACAUUGUCCCAGCAAAGAAGCAGAGCUGAUGUCUGGAAAUACUACACCAAAUCUUGGGUUCGGCUCUCCCUGUGUCUCCAUAGAAUAUCAUGGCAAACACGCUCCAGGAGAGUGUGGAGACUUCAGUUCUCUGGAACUUCUCCAUAUUUGGCAUGGUCAUUCUUUGAACUUCAGACAUCUUACAAGGUGCCAUGGUAUCUUGUCAUUUUCAUUGAUGUCCUUCUGAUGAUUAAUG